CAAGGCAGAGCUCCUGGAAGCCUCCACCAUGGACUGGGUUUCCUUCUACCUUCUGCCCCUCAUCUUCUCCACAGGUCUCUGUGCUCCUCCUGUGCUGACCCAAGCCUCAUCUGCAUCUGCCUCCCUGGGAGCCUCAGUCAAGCUCACCUGCACCCUGAGCAGUGAGCACAGCACCUACUACAUUGAGUGGUAUCAACAGACACCAGGGAAGGCCCCUGGAUAUGUGAUGAAGCUUAAAAGUGACGGAAGCCACAGCAAGGGGGAUGGGAUACCUGACCGCUUCUCAGGCUCCAGCGCUGGGGCUGACCGCUACUUGACCAUCUCCAGUAUCCAAUCUGAGGAUGAGGCUGAGUAUUACUGUGGUGUAAACUAUAAAAUUGAUAACCAAGUUGGGUAA